rnacentral:rRNA from 1 species
UACAGAGGAUGCAAGCGUUAUCCGGAAUGAUUGGGCGUAAAGCGUCUGUAGGUGGCUUUUUAAGUCCGCCGUCAAAUCCCAGGGCUCAACUCUGGACAGGCGGUGGAAACUACCAAGCUGGAGUACGGUAGGGGCAGAGGGAAUUUCCGGUGGAGCGGUGAAAUGCGUAGAGAUCGGAAAGAACACCAAUUGCGAAGGCAGCUCACAAAGCAAGUAUUGACGCUGAGGCACGAAAGCGUGGGGAUCAAACAGG